GAACCGGACGAACGUUAUUCGGAAUUAUUGGGCUUAAAGGGUGCGUAGGCGGCUUGGCAAGUUGGAUGUGAAAGCCCUCGGGCUCAACCGAGGAAUAGCGUCCAAAACUGCCAGACUCGAGGGAGACAGAGGCGAGCGGAACUUAGGGUGGAGCGGUGAAAUGCGUUGAUAUCCUAAGGAACACCAGUGGCGAAGGCGGCUCGCUGGGUCUCUUCUGACGCUGAGGCACGAAAGCUAGGGGAGCGAACGGGAUUAGAUACCCCGGUAGUCCUAGCUGUAAACGAUGAGCACUUGGUUGGAGGAUUUUCACUGAUUUUCCGGCCGUAGCGAAAGUGUUAAGUGCUCCGCCUGGGGAGUAUGGUCGCAAAGGCUG
rnacentral:rRNA from 1 species